rnacentral:rRNA from 1 species
GACCGUGUACAAGUCUCCUGGAAGGGAGCAUCGUAGAGGGUGACAAUCCCGUCUCUGACACGGAUCCCCGGUGCUAUGUGAUGCGCUCUCGACGAGUCGAGUUGUUUGGGAAUGCAGCUCAAAUCGGGUGGUAAACUCCAUCUAAAGCUAAAUACAGGCGAGAGACCGAUAGCGAACAAGUACCGUGAGGGAAAGAUGAAAAGAACUUUGGAAAGAGAGUUAAACAGUACGUGAAAUUGCUGGAAGGGAAACGCUUGACGUCAGUCGCGUCGUCCGGGGAUCAACCUCGCUUUUCGCUGGGCGUAUUUCCCGGUCGACGGGUCAGCAUCGAUUUCGACCGUCGUAGAAGGACGCGAGUGAAUGUGGCACUCCACGGGGUGUGUUAUAGCCUCGCGUAUGGAUGCGAUGGUCGGGAUCGAGGAACUCGGCACGACCCCUCGAGGGUUCGGGGCUUCGGUCCACGCGCGUGCCCAGGAUGCUGGCGUAAUGGCUUUAAGCGACCCGUCUUGAAACACGGACCAAGGAGUCUAACGUGCCUGCGAGUGUUCGGGUGCAAAACCCGAGCGCGCAACGAAAGUGAAAGUCGAGACCUCCGUCGUGGAGGGCACCGACGCCCGGACCGGAGCCUUUGGCGAUGGAUCUGCGGUAGAGCAUGUAUGUUGGGACCCGAAAGAUGGUGAACUAUGCCUGAAUAGGGCGAAGCCAGAG